rnacentral:rRNA from 1 species
GAUGGGCCCGCGUUGGAUUAGCUAGUUGGUGAGGUAAUGGCUCACCAAGGCGACGAUCCAUAGCUGGUCUGAGAGGAUGAUCAGCCACACUGGGACUGAGACACGGCCCAGACUCCUACGGGAGGCAGCAGUGGGGAAUAUUGGACAAUGGGCGAAAGCCUGAUCCAGCAAUGCCGCGUGAGUGAUGAAGGCCUUAGGGUUGUAAAGCUCUUUUACCCGGGAUGAUAAUGACAGUACCGGGAGAAUAAGCCCCGGCUAACUCCGUGCCAGCAGCCGCGGUAAUACGGAGGGGGCUAGCGUUGUUCGGAAUUACUGGGCGUAAAGCGCACGUAGGCGGUUAUUCAAGUCAGAGGUGAAAGCCUGGAGCUCAACUCCAGAAUUGCCUUUAAGACUGCAUCGCUUGAAUCCAGGAGAGGUGAGUGGAAUUCCGAGUGUAGAGGUGAAAUUCGUAGAUAUUCGGAAGAACACCAGUGGCGAAGGCGGCUCACUGGACUGGUAUUGACGCUGAGGUGCGAAAGCGUGCCGAGCAAACAGGAUUAGAUACCCUGGUAGUCCACGCCGUAAACGAUGAUAACUAGCUGUCGGCGCUCUUAGAGCUUCGGUGGCGCAGCUAACGCAUUAAGUUAUCCGCCUGGGGAGACGCCA